ACUGAUAGAGCAGGUUCUACUCAGAGUAUGUAUUGCACAACUAAGUUAGCUACAGCACAUUCUGACGGUUUGGCUUGGUUUUGUUUCACAGUUUGGUUAAUGAUUCUUUAUAAGAGUUGCUGGAUUGGCCAGGUGCACUGUCAGGAGAGAUGACCAAACAGACUUAGCCUCUCAGCUUCAGAGCUUGGAGUUGUGUACUCAUGGUCCACGUCUCUUUUAGACACUUUGUUUCCCUGAAAAAGUUUCCAUCAUGAAACUUUUGCUCCAUUGUGUGAGAAUUUCAUGAUGGCCUCCAACUUUCCAGUACUCCAAUGUAGUCUUUUUUCCCCCCAACCUUUGUUUUCAAUAAUAAAUACUUUGCUAUCUGGGAUGAUCGGAGAGCCUGUGUUCGUGCUGUGGGUCAUUGUCUCCUACGGCUUUUUUUUUUUUCUUUUUAAGUUUUCUUGUGAAUCACUGGAUAUUAUAUCAUAAGUAAUUUAUUAUAGACAUUAAAUCUAACAGAAUUACAAGAAGAGUUGGGAAAGUAAGGUCCAGAAAUGGGAUUUGGAGGAUCAGAGAAAAGUCACUUAUCAGCACACAACAGGAUGCAUGGAAAGGUUGGCAUUGGCAGUGAAACUUACAAAGCCAGGCACUUCCAACUUCCCACAUGGGAGCAUGAAGUAGAAUUGGCAAAGGCUAUGAAAGGCAGUUACAUCUGUGCCUGCUGAUGGGACUGGCAUCACUGGUGUGCAUCACAUCAACAGUCAGGAAAAACCAAUGGGCAGUGUGGACAGUCUGCCACCUGAUAGCAGCUCCUAGAGCAACAAUGAGGAUGAUCUGUGUUAGCAUCUGUAUGUCACUGCGUCUAACCACCAUGACCGACUGGAUCACACACACACAAGGAUGAGCUUCUGGGAGCUUCAGCUAGCCUCACUGUCACAAUACAAGGCAUGUAAAGCCAGUUGUUUUCCUUGUUGAUAGCAUAUAGGCCUUAGUUACAGAAACCCUGUCAAGUUUACAACAGGACAGUACUCUGCUUCAGACUUGUCAGCAGCUGAAAAGCUCAGGAUGAAACAUUAGGGAACCAAAGCAAAGCCUAAAAUCUUGCCUGUUACUGCUACUUAAUUAAGCUGAUGGCAUUUCUGUUUCUACCAGCCUCUUUUUAUUUGAGGCUAUAAGUUGUUUUUUUUUUUUUGUUUUUUUUUUAACGAUUUAUUGUAUUUAUUUGAAAGGCAGAGUUACGGGUUGAGGAGGGGAGGGAGGAGGAGGAAAGAAUCUUUGAUCCACUGG
rnacentral:lncRNA from 1 species